rnacentral:rRNA from 1 species
UACGGAGGGUGCGAGCGUUAUCCGGAAUCACUGGGUUUAAAGGGUGCGUAGGCGGCUCGAUAAGUCAGUUGUGAAAGCCCCAUGCUUAACGAGGGAGGUGCGAUUGACACUGUCGAGCUUGAAUCGGGAUGAGGCAGGCGGAAUGUGGCAUGUAGCGGUGAAAUGCAUAGAUAUGCCAUAGAACACCGAUUGCGAAGGCAGCCUGCUGGGCCUGUAUUGACGCUGAGGCACGAAAGCGUGGGGAGCAAACAGG